AACGAACGCUGGCGGCAUGCCUAACACAUGCAAGUCGAACGAGACCUUCGGGUCUAGUGGCGCACGGGUGCGUAACGCGUGGGAAUCUGCCCUUGGGUUCGGAAUAACAGUUGGAAACGACUGCUAAUACCGGAUGAUGACGUAAGUCCAAAGAUUUAUCGCCCAAGGAUGAGCCCGCGUAGGGUUAGCUAGUUGGUGAGGUAAAGGCUCACCAAGGCGCCGAUCCUUAGCUGGUCUGAGAGGAUGAUCAGCCACACUGGGACUGAGACACGGCCCAGACUCCUACGGGAGGCAGCAGUGGGGAAUAUUGGACAAUGGGCGAAAGCCUGAUCCAGCAAUGCCGCGUGAGUGAUGAAGGCCUUAGGGUUGUAAAGCUCUUUUACCCGGGAGGAUAAUGACAGUACCGGGAGAAUAAGCGCCGGCUAACUCCGUG
rnacentral:rRNA from 1 species